UACAGAGGGUGCGAGCGUUAAUCGGAAUUACUGGGCGUAAAGCGUGCGUAGACGGUAGCGUAAGUCAGAUGUGAAAGCCCCGGGCUCAACCUGGGAAUUGCAUUUGAGACUGCUCUGCUCGGGGUGCGGAAGAGGGAAGCGGAAUUUCCGGUGUAGCGGUGAAAUGCGUAGAUAUCGGAAGGAACACCAGUGGCGAAAGCG
rnacentral:rRNA from 1 species